CUGAGAUUAUCGAGAAGAUAAAGAGGUUGUUACAGUCCAGGCGUUGCUGCUGACUCCCUGUCACGCUUUUUUGCUGGCUGAGAGGGAUUGGACAGAGUGGCACCUCGGGGCCUGGCAUCUUGUACCUGGAGUGAGCAAUCCCCAGGGAAAUGGGAGGAAACUCUUAAUUCUUCUUACUGAUCCAGACUGCUGCUCAGCAAAUCCCCUCACCACUGGAGCUGCAGAUCUGAAAUGGCAUUAAAGAGGAAAUCAACCUUUUGCACAGUUUCCUCUUGGAAACAGUUCAGUUCUGCACUUCUCCGGCUUCCUUCCGAUGGUGAGCAGCACACUGUGAGCGAUCCUGCCCCAGGCCCCAGGCCGGGCCCUCCUGCAGAGGAGCCACCAGCCACGGACGAGUUGAGCCUGCCACCUCCUGGUGACACUCUCCGGGACUGACCACAGCUUGCAGCUUUACAGCAGCACAUCUUGGCUCUUCUCUGAGGCCCCUCGAGCCCCCUGACCCCAGAGAUCUCUGCUGUUGUGGAGUUGCCCUUGUGGCUCUCCUGUGGGGUGUGGGCCUGUGGUUCCCCCUCUCUUGUAGAGGUGAGGCUCAGAAGCUCAGCUCUGUCCCCUGUGACGUGCUUGAGUUUGGCAUCUGAUGCUUUGAGGACCUGGAUUUCCUGUGUGGAGAGCGCACAGCACACAGAAAAGAGGUGGACUUCUGAGGAGGAGGGUCCAAGUCAUCCUCUGGAGUGUGUCAGGGCUGUGGCUGUUUGGCUCUGAGCCCUGCCUGGAGCAUGUCCCAGUUUUGGCCACCUGUUGCCCUUCGGUGGCUGGUGCUGGGUGCUGGGGGAGCCUGGCUUGCCCUGGGAGCUCACAGAGCCAUGUCCCUGCUCUGUGCUGUGUCUCUGGGUAAUGUCAUUGCAGCCACACUCAAAUACCAUCUCUAUGGUGAUGACUCAGGCAUGCAGCCCCUCUCUGGGCUCUCCUCUCCCUGUCCAAAUUCAUAUCUCAGAGGAGCUCUCUGACAUCUCGUGAAUGUCUCGCCACCCUUUCAAGCACAGCACGGCCAAAUCAGAGCUUUUAACCUCUCCUUCUCAGCUCAGGGACUCCCUGAGCUCAGCAACACCAGGAUGCUGCUUUGCUGCCAGAACCUGAGUCCUGGCUUCAUCUCCUGCCUCCUCACAUAUCUUCACAUCCUGGGCACAUCAACAGCUUGCAUAACCUUGCUAAGCCUUUCCUAAAGCUAAAACUCUCACCUUCUCUUUCAUCACAUCCCCCUCCACUUGUUGCAAUAUUCUUUUUUGUCCUCAACAAACUUGCUGUGGGCCAGCUUGCAUCCACAGGGAUGCUGUUUCAGGCAUUGCUUCCCACCUUUCCUGCCUCUCCUCCCUCAUCCUCUGGGCUGCCCUCCUGCCCUCUGCCUCCCCUUGAUCCCACCCAUGUCCCUGCCAGCUGCGAGGGCUGUAUCCUCCUGUUAAUUCCUCAUUUUAUUUCUAAAUUGUAAACUUUGGGCUCACAGACAGUUUUCUUUGCUGCUCUCCUCAGCAAUGCCAAGGCAAUCAGGCUGCUGCAUUUCAGUCGAGCUCCUAUUGACUGGCACAAAUGGGAAAACUCACUUGUGAGCAGGGAGGGGGGCACUGGAUGUACAGGGCAAAGGAUUUCCCCAGGCUCUCGUCAGGGAGGUGGCUCCAAGGCUGCCCAUCCGUCCCUGGGGGACACGGGGCUGUCAAGGGCUGCUGGCAGCACUGAGCUGAGCCCUGCCAGCCCUGCCCAGCAAAGAGGUGGCAAUUCAGGUGCCAAUAAACACUCCUGGCUCCAGGCACAGGACUCAGCUUCUUCUUGCAGUUGUUGGAGUGCAGCUACCCCAGAGGCUAAAUAAGGUUAAACAGGCCCCAAAAUAGGGA